ACCUCUGUUUCCUAAGCUUUCCAGCCCUAACAUCAUCUCAGGCUGCAGCUUGGACAGCAGGAUGACAGGUGUCUGCAAAGCAUCUGAAGAAUCCUGCUGAGCAGCAAAGCCAAUACAAUGAGGAAACUGGAAGACUUCAUGAGUGCUGAACUUCCAGCAGCCUUACAGUGUCUGAGGGGGCCUGGAGGACAGCUAGAGAGAGACUUUUUACAAAGACAUGUGGUGAUGUGGUGAAAGCAAGCUGGUGCAGCCUGUGAUGAGACAGAAUGACAUCAGAUACAGUAACGUGCUCUCAAAAUGCACAGCUCGACGCUUCCCUUCAGACACCUGAGGACAGCUGCCAGUUAUCUCAUGCAUGGAGGAGUUUUGCUGCAGUUUGAAGAGUAUGAGAUGCCACAGGAGAAGCUGCUCAGUAGUGCCAGAGGCUUUGCAGCUGUGUGAGCGUGUCCCCAACGUCCUCACAGCCGAAGGGGAGGAAGAAAAGUUAAUAAAGCAGAGCAGCUUCCGCAUAUCUGAAAUGACACUUGAGUAGCUGGAUGCUGAAAAUGCUGAAGCCUUGAGCCCUUGCUGCAGUUACUAAACAUACUGUUCUUCAAUGGAGCCCUGGAGGCAAAGGCAGCAUUACUGAAAGCGGACACAAUGUAGCUGGCAUCACUGGGACUGGGCACAGGUAAAUGUCCCCAUAAUCCUCAGUGCUCUCUCAGUUAUUCCCACGCAGGCAGCAGUGCUGUCACACGUCACACAGCAGGGCACUGCAACUCAACUUCCUCAGCUCUGUGUGCCUGUCCCUUCAACUCUCUCACUCAGCAGUGACUGAGGCAAGUUAAUCUGUAGUGUGUCUGAGGGGGAGCAGGGGUUGCAGCAGAGAUACUUAGGCCCACUGUGAGGCUUUGUGUGCUCUCCAGUACAAUUUCCUAUAAUGAUUUCAUCUCCAUCCCAGUGCCUGAUUAUAUUUCUAUGCAGAAGACAAUGUAUUGAUUGCUAUCCAUGGUGGAGCUGCAUGGCACAUGAGUAUCAUGAAUCUACAGCUGGAGCUUGCUGGAGUAAAGAAUCACAAGUACAGAAUAGUUCCUGUCACUUGCCUCAAAUAAAAAACCAUUUCAGCAGUAAAAUGCAGGGUUCCCAAAGUGUAGAUUGGACAAGAUUCACUCAAAUAUUUACAGUUCAGAAUAAAGAUUUUCUGAGAUUCAGGAAAACCUAGCAGUACAUAAAAA